AUGUCAUUUGAAAAUAAAUGCACGAAGCCCAGGAGUCUUCCCGGCAGAAGUAAGCUACCCCAGCAAGCCGGAGAAACGAGGGCCAGCCAUGCAGGGCCUGCUUUCCUUGGGGGAACAGGGCAGGUAAGUAUGGGGAGACUCCCACCGCCAUCUUUUUUUUUUUUUUUUUUUUUUCAGCCUGAACUGACACUACAAUCCCCAGGGGACAUUUGCAAACGAGGUGGCCUGACAGGUCACCUGUCGCAGCACAUGCUGCUGGGGCCGGCACAGGGCAUCUGGCCCUUCUGGUGUUUCCUUGUGCACAGCUGCAGGAAGAUGGGGCUGGGGACCACACCAGGGAGGGGAGGGGGCCAGUGGAGACCAAGGGCAUUUGCUCGGAUCACACACGUGACAGUCUUAGGAGCCACCUGGAAGUAAAGGGCUGAGUCUUGUGCCUUCAGGGGCGCAAGAGCCGGCAUUGCAAAUGCAGUGGGAACGCAGAUAGAUGCAACGAUGCAGCCUCCCCCCUCCCCCCCAGGCUGGUGUGACUUGAGGGGAUGCAGGUAACACGUUCUGACCUCCGCAACCUUUCUCCUGGCUCUGCUUUUGUCAGCACUCGGUCUCCGUGAUGUUUUUCCCAUUCUGCAGCACCCUCUGCCUACAGAAACGCUCACAACCCAAGUGGCAGGGGUCAGCCCACUGGUGUAAUCGUUUUGCAGAAGUUCAACGAAAGCCAGAUAGUGGCCUGGAGAAGGGCUCUGUCAUUUCGUUGCGGGUGGUUACAACGAUCUACACGGCGUAUUCCCCCGGCAGUGGACUUUCCACCCCCUCUGCCCGAUGGCAGCCGUUACGUGCACGUGUCUGUCGGACAUGACCCACAUGGUGUCUCCGCGAUCGUUCUCCUCCUAGCGUGCGCGUCUGGACCAGGAGGUCGCUUCCGAGAAUUCCUGGACUCAGAGACGGGGUCAGCGCAGGGUAGCGUUGGUGCGUCGUUAAACCUCCACGAAGAGAAGGUUGCUGGUCGGUGCAAGGACUGAAGACGUGAGUGCACGGAUGCUGUUUUCUGUGUUCAUGGCAGGAUGGUGGCCAGGGGGCUCCACGCUAUCGAAGCUUGGGGCCAAGCAAGGCAGCACCUUUCUGGCAGGUGAGCCCUGUUUCUCCGUGCCUCCCGUCCUGGUGCACGGGAGGCCUUGGAGAGGGAAAACAUUUCCGAUCCCUGAGACUCCUCUGAAUUUCAGGCCAAAUUUUCCUGUGUGUUAUAGCUAUGGAAAACAGGUUCACGUGGCCCCAAGAGUUUAGUUGUUGAUAUGAAAUGCGUACCAAGUCCUGCCAGGUAAAUGGGCUUUUAGGUCUUUAAGAACGUUGACGGAUUGGCCGAUGAAUCCAUUCAUUUCCUCACUGAAUCAAACAACUGAGCAGGGACUGUGCACCGGGCCGA
rnacentral:lncRNA from 1 species